rnacentral:rRNA from 1 species
UUUGGGUGUGUCUCCCUCCUCGGGGAAACACUCUCAACCCCACUGACCCUUGACCUCAAAUCGGGUGAGACUACCCGCUGAACUUAAGCAUAUCAAUAAGCGGAGGAAAAGAAACUAACAAGGAUUCCCCUAGUAACUGCGAGUGAAGCGGGAAAAGCUCAAAUUUAAAAUCUGGCGGUCUUUGGCUGUCCGAAUUGUAAU